rnacentral:rRNA from 1 species
GGCCUUUUGAUUUUAAUUUAAGGUCAGGCCUGCCCAAUGAUUUUUUGAAUGGCCGCGGUAUAUUGACCGUGCUAAGGUAGCAUAAUCAUUAGUUUUUUAAUUGGAGACUGGAAUGAAAGGUUUGAUGAGAAAAUUACUGUCUCUUUUUAAUUUUAAUUGAAUUUUAUUUUUAAGUAAGAAAGCUUAAAUUUUUUUGAAAGACGAUAAGACCCUAUAGAGUUUUAUUAAACUUGAUUUUAUUUGUUUUAGUAAAUAUUAUAUUUAAAGUUAAUUUUAAUUUGGUUGGGGUGAUUGGAAAAUUUAUUUAACUUUUCUUUGUUUAUGUCACUAAUUAGUGUUUUUAUGAUCCAAAAUUUUUGAUUAUAAGAUAAAAUUACCUUAGGGAUAACAGCGUAAUAUUUUUUGAGAGUUCUAAUCGAAAAAAGAGAUUGCGACCUCGAUGUUGGAUUAAGAUAAAAUUUUGGUGUAGAAGCUUAAAUAUUAAGUCUGUUCGACUUUUUAAAUCUUACA